GUGGAAUUCUCAAUUUUUAACGGGGACAGACCUGUCACCAAAUAUUAGUGAAAAAUGUGCCAAGAACUACAGAGCAUCUGAAAAGUUAGAAAUAUUACCAUAAACUUACUUUAAAACAGAACUUUAGCCACAUUUUCAAAUAAUAUGCUCAUGUUUUUCUUCAACCUUCACACACCAUUUCAGGAAGUAUCUCUACAUUUAAAGCGAGUCCAGUUGUUAAUGUAAAAAAGGUACAAGAGGCCAGGGCACAGUGGCUCAAGCCUAUAAUCCCAGCACUUUGAGAGUAACAAAAACAACGAAUGC
rnacentral:lncRNA from 10 species